GAGGGUGCGAGCGUUGUCCGGAAUCACUGGGCGUAAAGGGCGCGUAGGUGGCCUGGUAAGUAGGGGGUGAAAUCUCGAGGCUCAACUUCGAGGCUGCCUCCUAAACUGUCGGGCUUGAGCAGAGUGAGGCAGGUGGAAUUCCCGGUGUAGCGGUGGAAUGCGUAGAGAUCGGGAAGAACAUCGGUGGCGAAGGCGGCCUGCUGGGCUCUUGCUGACACUGAGGCGCGACAGCGUGGGGAGCAAACAGGAUUAGAUACCCUGGUAGUCCACGCCGUAAACGAUGGGUACUAGGCGCCGGGGGGAGCGACCCCUUCGGUGCCGUCGCUAACGCAAUAAGUACCCCGCCUGGGGAGUACGGCCGCAAGGCUG
rnacentral:rRNA from 1 species